rnacentral:snRNA from 1 species
GUGCUCACUUAGGCAGCACAUAUAAUAAAACUGAAACUAUACAGAGAAUAUUAGCAUGGCCCUGCUCAAGGACGACAUGCAAAGCAUUCCAUAUUUUU